UUUGAUCCUGGCUCAGGAUGAACGCUAGCGGGAGGCCUAACACAUGCAAGCCGAGCGGUAGAGAUUCUUCGGAAUCUUGAGAGCGGCGCACGGGUGCGGAACACGUGUGCAACCUGCCUUUAUCUGGGGGAUAGCCUUUCGAAAGGAAGAUUAAUACCCCAUAAUAUGUUGGAUGGCAUCAUUCGACAUUGAAAACUCCGGUGGAUAGAGAUGGGCACGCGCAGGAUUAGAUAGUUGGUGAGGUAACGGCUCACCAAGUCAACGAUCCUUAGGGGGCCUGAGAGGGUGAUCCCCCACACUGGUACUGAGACACGGACCAGACUCCUACGGGAGGCAGCAGUGAGGAAUAUUGGACAAUGGGUGAGAGCCUGAUCCAGCCAUCCCGCGUGAAGGACGACGGCCCUAUGGGUUGUAAACUUCUUUUGUAUAGGGAUAAACCUACUCUCGUGAGAGUAGCUGAAGGUACUAUACGAAUAAGCACCGGCUAACUCCGUGCCAGCAGCCGCGGUAAU
rnacentral:rRNA from 1 species